rnacentral:rRNA from 1 species
UACGUAGGGGGCAAGCGUUGUUCGGAAUUACUGGGCGUAAAGGGCGCGUAGGCGGCACAGCAAGUCGGGAGUGAAAGCCCGGGGCUCAACCCCGGAACUGCUUUCGAAACUGCUGAGCUAGAGUACAGAAGGGGCAACCGGAAUUCCCAGUGUAGCGGUGAAAUGCGUAGAUAUUGGGAAGAACACCUGAGGCGAAGGCGGGUUGCUGGGCUGAUACUGACGCUGAGGCGCGAAAGCCAAGGGAGCAAACGGG